UACAGAGGUGGCAAGCGUUGUACGGAAUUACUGGGCGUAAAGGGCGCGUAGGCGGUUCGAUAAGUCUUGCGUGAAAUCCCCCGGCUCAACUGGGGAACUGCGCGGGAAACUGUCGGGCUUGAGUUCGGGAGAGGGAAGCGGAAUUCCGGGUGUAGCGGUGAAAUGCGUAGAUAUCAAGAGGAACACCAGUGGCGAAGGCGAGUCCCUGGACAAUACCUGACACUGAGGCACGAAAGCCAAGGGAGCAAACAGG
rnacentral:rRNA from 1 species